rfam:Legionella pneumophila str. Corby, complete genome.
GGCGGCAGCCCCGCCGAAGCAAGCGACCAAGAGCGGGCUUCAAACCACUUCAUGUGGCGCAUGUAAAGAGCAUGGGUCAUGAGCGAUGAAGAAAAGUCAGUAAGCAACUGGCAGGU